rnacentral:rRNA from 1 species
AGUGAACGCUGGCGGUAGGCCUAACACAUGCAAGUCGAACGGCAGCACAGUAAGAGCUUGCUCUUACGGGUGGCGAGUGGCGGACGGGUGAGGAAUACAUCGGAAUCUACUUUUUCGUGGGGGAUAACGUAGGGAAACUUACGCUAAUACCGCAUACGACCUACGGGUGAAAGCAUGGGAUCUUCGGACCUUGCGCGAUUGAAUGAGGCGAUGUCGGAUUAGCUAGUUGGCGGGGUAAAGGCCCACCAAGGCGACGAUCCGUAGCUGGUCUGAGAGGAUGAUCAGCCACACUGGAACUGAGACACGGUCCAGACUCCUACGGGAGGCAGCAGUGGGGAAUAUCGGACAAUGGGCGCAAGCCUGAUCCAGCCAUACCGCGUGGGUGAAGAAGGCCUUCGGGUUGUAAAGCCCUUUUGUUGGGAAAGAAAAGCAGCAGGUUAAUACCCCGCUGUUCUGACGGUACCCAAAGAAUAAGCACCGGCUAACUUCGUG